rnacentral:rRNA from 1 species
GACGAACGCUGGCGGCGUGCUUAACACAUGCAAGUCGAACGGAAAGGCCCUGCUUUUGUGGGGUGCUCGAGUGGCGAACGGGUGAGUAACACGUGAGUAACCUGCCCUUGACUUUGGGAUAACUUCAGGAAACUGGGGCUAAUACCGGAUAGGAGCUCCUGCUGCAUGGUGGGGGUUGGAAAGUUUCGGCGGUUGGGGAUGGACUCGCGGCUUAUCAGCUUGUUGGUGGGGUAGUGGCUUACCAAGGCUUUGACGGGUAGCCGGCCUGAGAGGGUGACCGGCCACAUUGGGACUGAGAUACGGCCCAGACUCCUACGGGAGGCAGCAGUGGGGAAUAUUGCACAAUGGGCGGAAGCCUGAUGCAGCACCGCCGCGUGCGGGAUGACGGCCUUCGGGUUGUAAACCGCUUUCGCCUGAGACGAAGCGUGAGUGACGGUAAUGGGUAAAGAAGCACCGGCUAACUACGUG